UGCUAACGUCAAUCUACUCUCUUACAAGGGGCAAAUUUCAAAAAGGCAAAGCAGGAGAUAGUGUUGCCAGAAAACAAAGCAAAAUAGGAGUUUGGGUGAAAGGCAGAUAGAAGGAGUUAUAUAUACAGAAUGCUUUCUUUCUGCUUUAUGUAAAGGCAUCCGACUCAGUCUCCAGAACCUUUUCAACUGAUGUGUAGUUCUCCAGGAAUUCUUGUAAAUGGCUCGAAGUCUUCUUUGGAUCAAGUUAGUAUAGUUGAUGGGAUCCCAUGGUGCUGUCCAGUAGUGAUAUUUGCCAGAAGAAUCAAGUAAUGUUGAAGAGCUGCUACCCAGCUGGGCCGCCUAAACAAGGUAAGUUUCAUGUUAUAACUCUGCCUUUUGUCAAGGGUCAUAGUCAAGGGUCAGAUCAAAAGAAAUGUUUUAUAUUCCCAUAGUGUGUAAGAAAAGUAAAGGUAUAGAUGCCCUUGGCUUAAAAAAUAUUUUACUACAGGGGCAUCUGGGUGGCUCGGUUAAGUGUCCAACUUUGA